rnacentral:lncRNA from 1 species
UGUGUUCAAAUUCUUGCACGAGCGUGGGUAUUAUUUUUGCUCAAUUUUGUGUUAGUGUUUCAGUGGCGUUGGGAGUCUGAGGUAGUUGGAUGUGGUUAGUGGGUGAGAUUUAUUGGGAUUGUGUGGUUAGUGAGAGAAUUUGUUCAUAAUUUUGUAUAUCCCAAUUAUUUUUUUUAUUUCUUUUAUUUUUCUUCCUUUCUCCCUUUUUGACCUUUUUUGCACUCCCUUCCUGUCAAAAUUUCCUCUUCCAGUCGUGGUAUUUUGCUUCUCAGUUCUGUCGUUC